GCUCAGUCGUGGUCACUCUACAGUUAAGUGUCCUUUCGUUUAUCAUCGGCCGAUCUGUGGUUGCAAAAAAAAUCCCAAAGAUAAGUAAGUAAUUAUGGCUACGCAAGGUCAAGUGAUUACUUGCAAAGCGGCGGUGGCCUAGGAACCCAAUAAACCUUUGGUAAUCGAGGACAUGCAGGUGGCUCUGCCUCAAGCUGGCGAAGUUCGAGUCAAGAUCCUCUACACUGCCCUCUGCCAUACAGAUGCAUACACCUGGAGUGGCAAGGUGAGUAUGGAUUAAAUUCGAGGAAAUGGGGGCUUUUCAAUGAGGCUGCAGGGUAUGUUCUCCUUUUGUUCAUGAGGCUGCAGGAAUAGUUGAAAGUGUUGGCGAAGGUGUGACUGAAGUCAAGCCCGAGGACCAUGUAAUACCUUGUUACCAGGUAAAUCAUUUGAAGCUCAAGAAUAAUACAAGGAAGCUCUUGUUGCAUUCUCAGUUUCACUCUCCAUAGAGCCAGAUUAUGUACCAAGCAUUGUCUCAAGUGCUGGAGUGCUAAUAAAAUUGGGUAGACAGAAUCUUCCUAUUGCAAGAAGCUUGUUGAUGACUGCUCUCCGACUAGAGCCGACAAACCACCAUGUGUAGUUCCUUCUUGGAGUGCUAUCCAAGUCUCAAGGCUUGAAACAAGUAGCCGCAGAUUACUUCCAAGCCGUACAUGAACUAAAGCUUUCUACUCCUGUUCAAGACUUUGCUUAACAACCCAUUGAGCACCAAGGUUCCAGAGAUAAAGGAACUUCUAUUUGGGACUUUAAAUGUU